UUGCUUGCUUCGGCAGCACAUUUACCAAAAUUGGAACAAUACAGAAAAGAUUAGCAUGGCCCCUGUGCAAAGAUGACAUGCAAAUUCUUGAAAUGUUCCAUAUUGUU